rnacentral:rRNA from 1 species
AAUAAAUUUAUAAAUAAUAAAAAUAAUUUUAAUAUUAAAAUGGGGGUUUUAGUAUUAAUAAAAAAAAAAUUAUAAGUUUUAUAGUAUAAUAGUAUUGUAUAAGAAAUUUUAAAUAAAUUUGAAAAUAAAUUUAUUUAAAAGUAAAUUUUAUUUAUUGUAUCUUGUGUAUCAGAGUUUAUUAAUUAAAAUUUUAGUUAAAAUAAUUCUCGAAUUAAAAAGAGAUAAUUAAUUAUAAAAGUUAUUGUUGCAUAAAUAUUUUAAAUAAUUAAUUUGAAAUGAGAUGUUAAUCGUUUUUUAAGAUAUCUAGUUUUUUUAGAAAAAAAUUUAAUUUUAUUUUUCUUUUAUAAUAAAUUAAUUAAUUAAUUUAUUAUAAAGAAAAAAUUAUAUUUUAAGGGAUAAGCUUUAAAUUAAAUAUUUAUAAUAAUAUUGUUUUUAAUUAAAAUUUUUAAAAUUUAUAUUGUUUAUAAUUUUUAAUUUAUUAUAAAUUAAUUUUAAUUUAAUUAAAAUUUAAAAAAAAAAUUUAAUUUUUUAUAAAAAAAUAUUUUUUAAUAAAUAAAGAUUAAAUAUAAUGAUAAAAUUAGUAUUUAAUAAAUAAAUAAUAUUAAUUUAUUGAAAAAUAAAGUUAAGUAAUUCGGCAAAAUUUUAUAUUCACUUGUUUAUCAAAAACAUGUCUUUUUGAAUAAUAAUUUAAAGUCUAAUCUGCCCCCUGAUUUUUAAUUAAAGGGCUGCAGUAUAUUGACUGUACAAAGGUAGCAUAAUCAUUAGUCUCUUAAUUGGUGACUUGUAUGAAAGAUUGGAUGAAAUAUAAACUGUCUCAAUUUUAUUAGAAAAAUUUAAUUUUUUAAUUAAAAAGUUAAAAUAAAUUUAAAAGACGAGAAGACCCUAUAGAGUUUAAUAAACGUUUUUAUUGAAAUUAUUUAUAUAUUUAAUAAUUAAAAUAAUAAUAUUUAUUUUGUUGGGGUGAUAAAAAAAUAUAUUUAACUUUUUUUUUUAAAAUUCAUUAAUAAGUGAAUAUUUGAUCCAAAAUUAUUUUGAUUAGAAGAAAAAAUUACCUUAGGGAUAACAGCGUAAUUUUUUUUUUUAGUUCAAAUAAAAAAAAAAGUUUGCGACCUCGAUGUUGGAUUAAGAUAAAAUUUAUAAUGCAAAAGUUUAAAAUUUUGAUCUGUUCGAUCAUUAAAAUCUUACAUGAUCUGAGUUCAAACCGGUGUGAGCCAGGUUGGUUUCUAUCUUUAAGCAAAAAAGAUAUUUUAGUACGAAAGGAAUAAAUAUUUAAAUUAAAUUUAAUUGAAGAAUUUUAUUAAUA